UGGAAGAGCAGAACGUCUGCGCUGGAAUGAAAAUGGUUCAGCCUGGACAGCAUGGCGACAAAACGUUUCAAGAGGCAGGAUGGUUCAGAGGGCCCAGGCACGAGAUGCUGUCCAGAUGCCUCUCCUCCACCUCAACUGAAGUGCUCAUUCCAUGAGUCAGCGUGUCGAUCUCUGGCUGGGAGCUGGAGAGAGAGGCGGCUGUUUUUCUCAGAGCUCUGCUCCCGGGGCUGCUGCCAUUUUUUUUUUUUUUUUUGCCAGACAAUGGCAGAUGGGAAUGCUUGGAUAUUAGUGGAGGCCUUCUACGUGCUUGGACAUGCCAUACAAAGUUCAACAGUGUCACGCACCGUCUCUGACUGCUGCCAUGUAUCACUUGCGAAUGUGUUUUCUCACUGAGCCUCUUAGGUAACUUGUAUGCUGUAAAAACUUGUAGCAGCAUGCUUCUCUGUUUGCCUUCUCAAAGAUCCCCAGAAUUUGUUCCAAUAAAACAUCAUUACUCUGAUUAAUAUUGUCAUUACAAAUUGCUUAUAGUGUUUGGAGAGCAAACCUUUAAAUCCAGACACAGUUUUGAGACAGGGCCAUUUGCUCUGAGGUUAAACCCCACGCACCUGCUUCCUUAUUACCAUAUGAAGCAACAACAGGCUCAUUUUAAGGUCCAACAUAAAUUAACUUGCGUCCUUUUGAAUAGGGGGAAGCCUAUCUGGUUUCUAUGGGACGACCUUUCACUGCUACUAAUGCGUUUUCCUCCUGCUAGCAGGCCGUGAUGUUGAGGAAAGAGACGUUUCACACAAACUGCAGAAACUGGCCGCUGCUUCACUCCUUCUUAAUCCACACGCUUCAGUCUUGACACUUUUACGGGUGGACAGUCAGCGGAGAGGAGAAGUCGCACUGCUGUGAACCACAACAAUCCCCUUAGUUACAGUAGCUGAGAAUCUGGCAGCGGCGGAAACACACAGAUGUGGAAGAUCAGAUUUCAGAUGACUGCUGAUACUCCAGUGACUCCAACAAGCCUCUGCAACAGCAGGGCAGCGUGGCUUAGAGUUGGACUGUAUCUGAUUACAUUUUCCAGGAUUGAUUACGGUUUUGAAGCGCUGACCAGGCCGACCCGGACCUUAUCUUGCUUGAAUUGAGGCUGUUACCUGGUUGUCGAUCUUGGACCGGUCUUCUGACCACAGCUUGGAUUUGCCCUCCUGGAUCCUUUGGUUCAUCUGUGGGCUCUAGCUGCUGCAAGACACUGUCCUCUUUUCUUCUCGAUCUCUGGUUCCAGGUUGGUAACAAGCAACAGAUUUCCGCUCCUCUGGACAUCACUCAUACUUCGGGGCUAGGACUGAACUUUGCCAGGUUGGUGGCUAUCAUGCUCAUUGUUGUUCCUCGUUUGAGUUUUGAAGUCACUGACCUGAGCCUCUAUUCCUGCAGAGAAUCCUGUGAGCCCGCUGCAGCUGACAAUCAGCUGCACAGCGUUAAUUUAAUAAACGCUUUGAUCUUUCCCACUGUCUGUCUCGCCUUGAAUAUUGGUUCCAAAGUCCUGAGUACAUUACAGUAGGAUGUUGAAAUAAUGAUUUCAGUCAUGUACACAUCUGGCCUUUUAACAAUUGACAAGUGACAAUUGGGAUUUAAUGGAAGACUUGAGCUUGAUUUGAAUAUCUCAAAUCGGUAAGGACAUUUAAGCCAUGGCUGAAGUGCAUCAGCUGUCACCAUAAUGAAUGCUAUCUGAACAGUGCUGGCAGUAAAGAGGGAGCAAGGAUGAGGAAGCAGGAUUCUUCCUAAUGCCAGUUCAGUUAACAUAGGGACCUUCAGAUGUUCCUAGCUGCUGUUAGGACCUAGAAGGUUGCCUAUAUGACAGGAUAUAGAGGCACAGCCCACUUCAUGGGGUUUACCAAAAUAC